UACGAAGGGGGCUAGCGUUGCUCGGAAUUACUGGGCGUAAAGCGUGCGUAGACGGUUGCGUAAGUCAGAUGUGAAAGCCCCGGGCUCAACCUGGGAAUUGCAUUUGAGACUGCGUAGCUAGGGUGCGGAAGAGGGAAGCGGAAUUUCUGGUGUAGCGGUGAAAUGCGUAGAUAUCGGAAGGAACACCAGUGGCGAAAGCGGCUUCCUGGUCCAGCACCGACGUUCAGGCACGAAAGCGUGGGGAGCAAACAGG
rnacentral:rRNA from 1 species